AGCGUAAAUUGGGUGUCGGUGUAAUAGAAAUUUAGUGCGGUUUUUCAGAAACAAGUCGACAACAUUGUUUAGUUGCACACUGGAUGCUAAAUUGGGGUUGAAAAACAGUGUAUGUAUGUACGUUUGCAUCCAUAUUUAACACUUAUUGCAAGCCAGCAAAUAGAUAAUUUGGGUUGUAUCGGUAAACAAGACUAGGGUUUGAAAUAUUCAAUAUGUGGGCUUGUACUAUUGCCAUAGUUUGGAUGUUGUUAUUAAUAGACAUUUGGUCCUUUAUGAGAGUAAAUUGCUCUGGAAUUUCAACUAAGGAAGAGAUUUCUGUUGGCAUUUGCCAACUAUACAAUGGAACGACAUGCAGUAAAUAUUUGUCGAAUAAAAGCGUUUUUAUACCUCCAAACUUUACUCUGGAGGAUUUUGAAGAAAGAUUGCGUGCAGCGUAUGGAGUUAUAAAGGAAUCGAAGACUAAUUAGAAUCUGCUCAAUUUUAACGCCCAAUCGAAUCUGUCAAAAUAGUCCUUAACCGUUGAGCCACCUGUGCUUUUGUGUUCGUUUAUUGCAAACCGUGGCGGUCUUGUUGUAUUUAUGUCUUCUGACGUCACAGACUGCGCCGCAAUGUUUGAACGGCCUCCAUAACAGCAUCACGUACGAAUUGCAUCAACUGCUUCUGGUUCAUCGUGCCUGUACACUUCUGACACCAAUAUUGUAUACUCAAAGUCUGAAGUUUCAAUUUAAUUCAGUUUAUUUCAUUAAGAAAGAUUGUAAUGUACAAGUUACAUCUGACAGAUAAAAUAAAAGUGAUGUCAAUAAGAGUUUACAUAUACAUCAUUAUCCAUUUGGUAUUUUCAUAUGUAGACAAUGUGCAAAUGUUAUUGAAUCCUACAAAUUUAAAUUAAUUUUAGUUUUGUGAGAUAUUAUUCAAUAUAUUUAGAAACAAUAUUGGUAAGUUAUAAUUCAAAAAUAAACUUAGAUUACCUGACGAGCUCGAAAACAUAUGUUUUAUUAAUUUGUAAAAAUUAUUAAUCGUAAAAAUAUAUCUUUCGACUGCUCAUUCGGCUAAAACGAAAAUAGCAGCAGCCGAAAUCCGAGCUAUUGCUUAUUUUGUGUGCUGAAUUUUUAUCUUUACUGUCGGUUAGGGCUUAUCAAAACGAGCUAAAUAGCUAUGCGCUGAGCUAAAUAGCUGAUCAUGUGCUAUUUUAGCCGUGGUUGUCUAGAUUUAAUAGCAGUUGCACUGAAAGGCUAAUCUAAUUUCAAUAGGUGCUAGUUUAGCAAGCACGAUAUACACACUUAGUUUAGUAAACACUAAUUAACAAAUUUUAGUAAAGCCAGACGCUGAAAAUACGCUUUAGUCAUUAAAACAAAACAUUAUAGUUUUAAGCAUUUCUUUCUUCACUUCAAAAUUGUAAAUUUUCGUGUUAAAAAAACAAUGACUCAAUAAAUUUGAAUUGAAAAUAGGUGCUAGUUUUUUAACUCUGAUUGUUACUAAUUGAAAUGAGAAGGUUUUUAUGAAAAAAAAAUUAAAUAGCCUCCAGAAAAUUCGCGAAAAUAAUAAAUUCAAAUAUUAAUUUUUUUAUAUGAAAUUUUGUGUGAGAACUGGCUACUCGAAUGAAAAAAUUGAAGUCUCAUAGUAGAAAACUCGGAGAAAAUUUUGCGAAAUUUUGCAUGCUAUCUCGUGAUUAGAUUUUGAUGGAUGUAAGUUGGAAAAUUCGUUCUGAAACUUGGCAAAAAUAAAAUUUUUAAUGGAAAACUCAGUAAAUUCCGAAAAAUGCUAAUUUUUGCGUGAUAUUGCAUGAUUUGAUUUUGGUCGAUAUAAAAUGGAAAUUUCGUUCUGAGACCUUUCAAAUUCCCGAUAGUUAUGAUAAACAUGAUAAAAGGUGGUUUGCGGCAAUUUAAUGUGAAUUAGUUAACAACCACCACAAAUCCGUCCCGCUGCUUUUGAAUGCGAUAUCUAAAUGCAUUUAAUGAUCUUUAAUGCGUUGAUAUCGUUUCAUUGUCUGUCGUAUACCAGCAUUCUAAUGCAUGAAGUUUCAAUUACAAACCUGGUGGCGGAAAAUUGAAUUUUCUGGCACAUCCUCCUGAGGUAUUGUAAUCGUUUCUUAACGGCAAUACAAUCCAAGCAGACCAUUUUCUGUCGAAUACACAAGAAUAAAACGUAUGCUUUCUGUUGGAGCCUUUUCCAUAAUUUAGUAAUUUAAAAUUAAAGUACCUUUUUUUAUUAUUUAAUUAAUUCAUUAAUUAAAUGAAUUACAAAGGUGUUAUUGUAAGUAUUAAAAUAGUAUGUAGAUCCUAAUAAGAAAAUGAAUUGGAAAAAGGAAAGAAAAUGAAUUGGAAAAAGGAAUAAUAAAAUAAAGGUAGUUGUUGUACUUACCGCCAAAUAAGCCGCAUCGACUUCAACCUUCUUACCGAACAAAAAAUACUAAAUAACUAAAAAAUAAAAAAAAAAUAAAUAAAUUUGGUUUUUUAUACUUCCCUGAAAUUUUCCAUACAUUUUAUUGUUGUUGUUGUUGUAGCAGUAGUACAUGUGUGUGUUUGUGUUCUGCUAAUCUGGUUCCAGCUCCAGGUUUAGAAAUUCGGCUACUUUAACGGGCUGUAGCCAGAGAUCCUCCGGAGUGAGUUGGGAAGGUUUGGCUGAGCAAUUAAAAAGGUGUAGCGUAUUGUGCGGGCCUGUAUCGCACGCCGGGCAGGCGUCACGCACAUCUUCAUCAAUUCGUGCCCAAUACGAAUUGAGGCGACUACACCAUCCUGAACGUAAUUGCGCCAAAACUACCCUGGUUUGUCUAGGCAGCUGACGUUCUUCGGCUGCAAUGGAUGGGGGGUGGACUCCGAGGACGGCAUUCACUUUAUAACUGCUAAUAGCAUCCGCGACUGCAUCGGUGUGAAUGCCACUCAGACCUGCCUGAUAGGCUUCGUGAUCUAGAGGCUCUCUCUUGUAGCGCUGGACCUCCCUCUCUAGAUCAUGUAUGUCCUUCCUGACACGCCUGGGUGGGGGAGAGUUAUCCACCAUAUGAUGGUUGGGAUGACUCUCACGGUAACACCCAAGCAGGUACUGCAACGAAAGCAUAUGAUUAUGCUGACGUAAGGGAAGGACUUUCGCCUCCUCAUGUAGAUGGUCCACUGGUGUCAUGAGGAGGCACCCUGUCGCAGUUCUCAGGGCAGCGUUCUGGCAGGUCUGGAUAUUCUUCCACUGCGUAGCACUAGUAUUCGCAGACCACACUGGAGCCGCAUAGUUGACCACUGACCGACCUAUCGCGUUAUAAGAGGUCAACAAGGUUUCUUUGUCCGCACCCCAAGAGCUGCCGGCUAGCGCCUUGAGGACCUUGUUCCUACUUUUCAUCUUGUCGCAGAUAGCUGUGGCUUGCGCGGACGACUUGAAAAUGCUGUCGAACGUUACCCCAAGAAUCUUGGGGUAGUUCGUGGUCGGUAUUAGAUUCCCCUCGACCUGAACAUUCAGCUGUGUUCUCAUCUCCGCAGACCAUGUGGUAAAGAGUGUGGCCGUUGAUUUCGUGGCGGAUAUUUUCAUAUUCCUCGCGUGGAAGUAUGCGGCAAGCUCCGCGAGAUAGGGGUUCAACCUUUCGCAUAUGUCAUCGACCACUGGACCCGACGCCAUGAUCGUACAAUCAUCCGCAUACGUUACGAUCUCAAUGCCGUCUGGAGGGCGAGGAAUUCCGGAAAGGUAGAGGUUAAACAGUUCCGGAGAUAUCACCCCGGACGACUGGCGUCCACACAUAUAGUUGAUUAUCCAACGUUUCAAACUUGGCCGGAGGGUAGUUCUCUGUACGUCCUCAAACAGUGUGGCAUGAUUGACCGUAUCAAAUGCCUUUGAUAGGUCAAGGGCUACCAACACUGUUCUGUCACACGGCCUGUUCUGGUUCAGUCCUCUACUAAUAUGUGGCGUGUAAUGCUGUUGUGGUACUAUGUUGUGGACGGAAUCCAUGCUGGUGGUUGGCAACUGUAUAGCUUCCUCUAAUGCUGGGGAGGAGUAAAGCCUCAAGAGUCUUAGCUACUGGCGACAAAAGCGAAAU